GGUUAUCCGUGGGACAAACAUAAGCUUGCAAGGAAGAGCUGAGGAGAGCAGAGGAAAGUGUCCGUUUGAGCCAACUCUAAAGCACGCGUCUGUUUUUGUAGAUGGGGAAUUUUAUUCAGCUACUUCAAAUAAUUUCUUGGGAACAGAACCUAUAAUACUUCGCAGUAUGAGAAGUCCUCUAAGGACAGAGUUGAAGAUAUCAUGGCUAAAUGAACCAAGCUUUGUCAACAUGGAAGUAGUGCGCGAAAGUGAAUCUAACCCAAAUGGAGAUGAUGAUAAAAUUUACGUGUUCUUCACUGAAACAGCUGUUGAAUUUGAAUUCUAUGACAAGCUUCUGGUGUCCAGAAUUGCCCGUAUCUGCAGAGUUAGUAUUUGUAGUCUAAAGAUUUUGUUUAGUGGAUUUCAGAUGAAGUUUCGUAGCCGAGUGAUUAACAAUGGCAUCUGCACUGGCUAACCGAGCCAAACUCU